rnacentral:rRNA from 1 species
AGCGUACACGGUGGAUGCCCUGGCAGUCAGAGGCGAUGAAGGACGUGCUAAUCUGCGAUAAGCGUCGGUAAGGUGAUAUGAACCGUUAUAACCGGCGAUUUCCGAAUGGGGAAACCCAGUGUGUUUCGACACACUAUCAUUAACUGAAUCCAUAGGUUAAUGAGGCGAACCGGGGGAACUGAAACAUCUAAGUACCCCGAGGAAAAGAAAUCAACCGAGAUUCCCCCAGUAGCGGCGAGCGAACGGGGAGCAGCCCAGAGCCUGAAUCAGUNNUGUGAGCUCGAUGAGUAGGGCGGGACACGUGGUAUCCUGUCUGAAUAUGGGGGGACCAUCCUCCAAGGCUAAAUACUCCUGACUGACCGAUAGUGAACCAGUACCGUGAGGGAAAGGCGAAAAGAACCCCGGCGAGGGGAGUGAAAAAGAACCUGAAACCGUGUACGUACAAGCAGUGGGAGCACGCUUAGGCGUGUGACUGCGUACCUUUUGUAUAAUGGGUCAGCGACUUAUAUUCUGUAGCAAGGUUAACCGAAUAGGGGAGCCGAAGGGAAACCGAGUCUUAACUGGGCGUUAAGUUGCAGGGUAUAGACCCGAAACCCGGUGAUCUAGCCAUGGGCAGGUUGAAGGUUGGGUAACACUAACUGGAGGACCGAACCGACUAAUGUUGAAAAAUUAGCGGAUGACUUGUGGCUGGGGGUGAAAGGCCAAUCAAACCGGGAGAUAGCUGGUUCUCCCCGAAAGCUAUUUAGGUAGCGCCUCGUGAAUUCAUCUCCGGGGGUAGAGCACUGUUUCGGCAAGGGGGUCAUCCCGACUUACCAACCCGAUGCAAACUGCGAAUACCGGAGAAUGUUAUCACGGGAGACACACGGCGGGUGCUAACGUCCGUCGUGAAGAGGGAAACAACCCAGACCGCCAGCUAAGGUCCCAAAGUCAUGGUUAAGUGGGAAACGAUGUGGGAAGGCCCAGACAGCCAGGAUGUUGGCUUAGAAGCAGCCAUCAUUUAAAGAAAGCGUAAUAGCUCACUGGUCGAGUCGGCCUGCGCGGAAGAUGUAACGGGGCUAAACCAUGCACCGAAGCUGCGGCAGCGACACUAUGUGUUGUUGGGUAGGGGAGCGUUCUGUAAGCCUGUGAAGGUGUGCUGUGAGGCAUGCUGGAGGUAUCAGAAGUGCGAAUGCUGACAUAAGUAACGAUAAAGCGGGUGAAAAGCCCGCUCGCCGGAAGACCAAGGGUUCCUGUCCAACGUUAAUCGGGGCAGGGUGAGUCGACCCCUAAGGCGAGGCCGAAAGGCGUAGUCGAUGGGAAACAGGUUAAUAUUCCUGUACUUGGUGUUACUGCGAAGGGGGGACGGAGAAGGCUAUGUUGGCCGGGCGACGGUUGUCCCGGUUUAAGCGUGUAGGCUGGUUUUCCAGGCAAAUCCGGAAAAUCAAGGCUGAGGCGUGAUGACGAGGCACUACGGUGCUGAAGCAACAAAUGCCCUGCUUCCAGGAAAAGCCUCUAAGCAUCAGGUAACAUCAAAUCGUACCCCAAACCGACACAGGUGGUCAGGUAGAGAAUACCAAGGCGCUUGAGAGAACUCGGGUGAAGGAACUAGGCAAAAUGGUGCCGUAACUUCGGGAGAAGGCACGCUGAUAUGUAGGUGAAGUCCCUCGCGGAUGGAGCUGAAAUCAGUCGAAGAUACCAGCUGGCUGCAACUGUUUAUUAAAAACACAGCACUGUGCAAACACGAAAGUGGACGUAUACGGUGUGACGCCUGCCCGGUGCCGGAAGGUUAAUUGAUGGGGUUAGCCGCAAGGCGAAGCUCUUGAUCGAAGCCCCGGUAAACGGCGGCCGUAACUAUAACGGUCCUAAGGUAGCGAAAUUCCUUGUCGGGUAAGUUCCGACCUGCACGAAUGGCGUAAUGAUGGCCAGGCUGUCUCCACCCGAGACUCAGUGAAAUUGAACUCGCUGUGAAGAUGCAGUGUACCCGCGGCAAGACGGAAAGACCCCGUGAACCUUUACUAUAGCUUGACACUGAACAUUGAGCCUUGAUGUGUAGGAUAGGUGGGAGGCUUUGAAGUGUGGACGCCAGUCUGCAUGGAGCCGACCUUGAAAUACCACCCUUUAAUGUUUGAUGUUCUAACGUUGACCCGUAAUCCGGGUUGCGGACAGUGUCUGGUGGGUAGUUUGACUGGGGCGGUCUCCUCCUAAAGAGUAACGGAGGAGCACGAAGGUUGGCUAAUCCUGGUCGGACAUCAGGAGGUUAGUGCAAUGGCAUAAGCCAGCUUGACUGCGAGCGUGACGGCGCGAGCAGGUGCGAAAGCAGGUCAUAGUGAUCCGGUGGUUCUGAAUGGAAGGGCCAUCGCUCAACGGAUAAAAGGUACUCCGGGGAUAACAGGCUGAUACCGCCCAAGAGUUCAUAUCGACGGCGGUGUUUGGCACCUCGAUGUCGGCUCAUCACAUCCUGGGGCUGAAGUAGGUCCCAAGGGUAUGGCUGUUCGCCAUUUAAAGUGGUACGCGAGCUGGGUUUAGAACGUCGUGAGACAGUUCGGUCCCUAUCUGCCGUGGGCGCUGGAGAACUGAGGGGGGCUGCUCCUAGUACGAGAGGACCGGAGUGGACGCAUCACUGGUGUUCGGGUUGUCAUGCCAAUGGCACUGCCCGGUAGCUAAAUGCGGAAGAGAUAAGUGCUGAAAGCAUCUAAGCACGAAACUUGCCCCGAGAUGAGUUCUCCCUGACUCCUUGA